UGGACAUACUUCACGCAUGGGUGCAGCCACUGUUGUAGGUGGGAAGUUGGGAAGAUAGGAUACAGGUGGGAAUUUUAUCUAUAUAUAUAUGUAAGUAACGAUAAACCAUUGCUAACGAAAAAUGAUUCUGAGCGGAGUUCAGUUGAUAGUGUUGCAUUGUCAACAAUAUAUUUGUCAUUUUGUAGUAAAAUAAUUAAAAAAGCUUUACAUAUUUUCUUCAAUACAAUUUUUUUAAUGUUGCAUCAAUUUUAUAAAUAUUUCAACACCGAUAAAAACAUGACAAAAACAAAAUUAACAAAAUCAUUAAUUAUCUCAAGAACAUUUUGGCAAACAUCGUGUGACUCACAUAAGGGUUACAUGACAGUCAACCUGUUUUAAGCACAAAAAUAAUAAUUCAAUAAUCGUACACGCAAAAAUAAUCUGGUUGUCUCGUGUCUUGUUGUGUAGUCUGUAUAUAUCUUUAGUCGGGGUAUAAGGUCUAUGCGUUAUACCUAUGGUUGUCUUAACAUAUACCAACAUUAUUAUCAUUCUAACCGUGGAUAACUUAUCUCUUGUGUAUCUCAUUUUACCAUUGAGUAAUAUAGAUUAUAGAGGAGCCUUUCGAUUUUGGAUUGAAGCGAAAGAGGUCUACUUAGAGCAUUUUCCACCUAACUGCACCGACUGCACUAGUGUAGAUUUUUAUGUUUUAUAUGGAAUAUAGGGGCACAUUUAGGGCCAGUUGUACAGUUCGUGAUUAAAUUAUAAUCAAUAAUUAAGACCUUCGAUCUGUUGUACAAUGCUGAUUAGCAUUAUUUGAAAUCGUUUCAUGGUCGGCUCAUUUAACACAUAGCCCUCUCCACUAUCACAAUAGUUGUAUUUACACAUACGAUAUUAUUAUUAUCAAAGUAUUAUCAUCUAUGAUUUAAUCAACUCUCAG